AGAUUCUGUUUUAAUACCCAGUCACUCUUGAGCUCCUUAUACUCUCACCAUCACUCUGCUGUUCCGGAUCUACAUAUAUCCCUAGGUGGGGAUUGUUCCACCUAAAGCUCCAUACACUAGAGCAGGUCAUUGCUCUAGCAAAUGUAAGUAGGUCUAAUAUUAUUUACUUAUCCUACUUUUACAUACGUACUGUACCAUUGGUAUACAUCCUUAUUUUUUUUAUAUGAUGAACCGCACUACCUUGGGAAUCUGAUACCAGC